rnacentral:lncRNA from 1 species
UGGGUAUGAAGUUUCCUCUUUAUGGAGCCCUCAAACUUCUUUUCACAGCAUCAGGAAGGACAGACAGCCCUAAGUCAAGAUAUGGAGGUGUGGCAAGGCCCAGGGCUGCCUGGCAUCAGACCUCGGAAGAGACUCCCACAGUGCCCUUCUCAAGUGCCUCCCUUCCUCUGAUCACUUGGAAAACUGCUGCACGCUGGCCUCUGUUCUCACCAUACUACCGCUUGAAUUAUCAAGAUGAAAUUGCCUAUCAAGAUUCAGAUCUCAACUCAAUAAAGUCAUCUUUACAAAGUGUGAUCAAAAAAUAUGAUGGCUGGGCAUGGUGGUGCACGCCUGUAAUCCCAACACUUGGGAAGCUGAGGCAAGAGGAUCGCUGUGAGUUCGAGACCAGCCUGAGCUACACAGUGAGUUCCACAUCAGCCUCAACUACAUAG